UACAGCCACAUCACGUUGAAACACCGCUUCCCGUACGAUCACCGAAGUUAAGCAACGUCGAACCUGGCCAAUACGUAAAUGAGUGGCCGUUUGGGAAUACCAGGCGAUGUAA